rnacentral:rRNA from 1 species
GGAUGAACGCUGGCGGCGUGCCUAAUACAUGCAAGUCGAGCGAAUGGAUUAAGAGCUUGCUCUUAUGAAGUUAGCGGCGGACGGGUGAGUAACACGUGGGUAACCUACCCAUAAGACUGGGAUAACUCCGGGAAACCGGGGCUAAUACCGGAUAAUAUUUUGAACUGCAUAGUUCGAAAUUGAAAGGCGGCUUCGGCUGUCACUUAUGGAUGGACCCGCGUCGCAUUAGCUAGUUGGUGAGGUAACGGCUCACCAAGGCGACGAUGCGUAGCCGACCUGAGAGGGUGAUCGGCCACACUGGGACUGAGACACGGCCCAGACUCCUACGGGAGGCAGCAGUAGGGAAUCUUCCGCAAUGGACGAAAGUCUGACGGAGCAACGCCGCGUGAGUGAUGAAGGCUUUCGGGUCGUAAAACUCUGUUGUUAGGGAAGAACAAGUGCUAGUUGAAUAAGCUGGCACCUUGACGGUACCUAACCAGAAAGCCACGGCUAACUACGU